rnacentral:rRNA from 1 species
AUUGAACGCUGGCGGCAGGCCUAACACAUGCAAGUCGAGCGGAGCGGCGGACGGGUGAGUAAUGCCUAGGAAUCUGCCUGGGAGUGGGGGAUAACGUCCGGAAACGGGCGCUAAUACCGCAUACUAUCAGAUGAGCCUAGGGGGGAUUAGCUAGUUGGUGGGGUAAAGGCCUACCAAGGCGACGAUCCGUAACUGGUCUGAGAGGAUGAUCAGGCACACUGGAACUGAGACACGGGCCAGACUCCUACGGGAGGCAGCAGUGGGGAAUAUUGGACAAUGGGCGAAAGCCUGAUCCAGCCAUGCCGCGUGAUUUAGAAGGCCUUCGGGUUGUAAAAAUCUUUUCUAUGGGAAGCAGUACCAUAGGAAUAAGGACCGGCUAAUUACGUGCCAGCAGCCGCGGUAAUAC